UUGGCAUUUUCAUAAGCGGAGGAAAAGACACCAACCGGGAUUGCCUUAGUAACGGCGAGUGAAGCGGCAAAAGCUCAAAUUUGAAAUCUGGUACCUUCGGUGCCCGAGUUGUAAUUUGGAGAGGGCAACUUUGGGGCCGUUCCUUGUCUAUGUUCCUUGGAACAGGACGUCAUAGAGGGUGAGAAUCCCGUGUGGCGAGGAGUGCGGUUCUUUGUAAAGUGCCUUCGAAGAGUCGAGUUGUUUGGGAAUGCAGCUCUAAGUGGGUGGUAAAUUCCAUCUAAAGCUAAAUAUUGGCGAGAGACCGAUAGCGAACAAGUACAGUGAUGGAAAGAUGAAAAGAACUUUGAAAAGAGAGUGAAAAAGUACGUGAAAUUGUUGAAAGGGAAGGGCAUUUGAUCAGACAUGGUGUUUUGUGCCCUCUGCUCCUUGUGGGUAGGGGAAUCUCGCAUUUCACUGGGCCAGCAUCAGUUUUGGUGGCAGGAUAAAUCCAUAGGAAUGUAGCUUGCCUCGGUAAGUAUUAUAGCCUGUGGGAAUACUGCCAGCUGGGACUGAGGACUGCGACGUAAGUCAAGGAUGCUGGCAUAAUGGUUAUAUGCCGCCCGUCUUGAACCGGGACCAA
rnacentral:rRNA from 1 species